rnacentral:rRNA from 1 species
CCUACGGGAGGCAGCAGUGAGGGAUAUUGGUCAAUGGGCGGGAGCCUGAACCAGCCAAGUCGCGUGAAGGAAGAAGGUACUUAGUAUUGUAAACUUCUUUUGUCGGGGAACAAAGGCGGAGACGCGUCUCCGGAUGAGUGUACCCGAAGAAAAAGCAUCGGCUAACUCCGUGCCAGCAGCCGCGGUAAUACGGAGGAUGCGAGCGUUAUCCGGAUUUAUUGGGUUUAAAGGGUGCGCAGGCGUGGUGUCAAGUCAGCGGUAAAAUGUCGGGGCUCAACCCCGGCCUGCCGUUGAAACUGGUUGUCUAGAGUUGGAGAGAAGUAUGCGGAAUUCGUGGUGUAGCGGUGAAAUGCAUAGAGAUCACGAAGAACUCCGAUUGCGAAGGCAGCAUACCGGCUCCAUACUGACGCUGAGGCACGAAAGCGUGGGGAUCGAACAGGAUUAGAUACCCGUGUAGUC